UGGUUUUUCGAGACAGGGUUUUUCUGUUUAGCUUUGCUCCUCUCUUGGAACUCACUUGAUAGUCCAGGCUGGCCUCGAACUCACAGGGAUCCGCCUGGCUCUGCCUCCCGAGUGCUGGGCUAAAGACGUGCGCCACCACCGCCCGGCCACAUGCAGUUUUUGAUACUAAGAGUAAGAGUUGUUUUCUGGUAAGUAAAGCCACUACUGGGCUCCCAUUGCCAUACACUCCGCAAAUACCACUCACUUCUGUUCCUAGGAACUACAGUGUAUUGGACGGAAGAGAAGCAACUUUUCUUGUCAGCUUCCAAAGCAGAGUUGAAUUUUAUAUGGCCCCUGUGUGUAGGAAGCACAGUUCUUUUGUUCUGAGCAAGCUCACAGUUCUGGGGUAUAGGAAACACCAUAGAGUAAAAGAGUGCUCCUUUCUCAAAAGCAAAGUCUUUUUCCUUACGGGGAGCUAGUUUUGGUUUUCCCUUCAUAAUCACAGUUCAAUCACAUGCAGUUUCUUGUCCUAUGAGUAAGGGUUUUUUUCAGGUAAGGAAAGUCUCUAUUGUGCUAUACCAUUGCCAUACAGGGUGCAAAUAGCACAAGCGUCUGGUCCCAUCAAAUGCAGUGUAUUGGACAUAAAAUAAGCUACUAUUCUUCUCAAGUUGCUAAACAGAGUUGAACUAGAUAUGGCCCAUGUUAGUAUUAAGCCCAGUUCUUUUUUUCUGAGCAAGCUCACUGUUCUGGAUCUAUUGAAACCUCAGUAGAGUAGAAGAGUGCUCCAUUCUCAAAAGCAGAGUGUUUCUUGAAAGGCGAACUAGUGUUGGUGUCCCCUUCAUAAACGGAGUUGUAUCACAUGCAAUUUCUGGUCCUAAGAGCAAGAUUUGUUUUCUGGUAAGGAAAGUCACUAUGGCGCUCCCAUUGGUAUACACAGCAGAUAUAACUCUCAUGUCUGUUCCCAGCAAUUACAGAGUAUAGGAUGGGAGAGAAGCUACUGUUCUUGUCAGUUUCCUAAGCAGAGUUGAACUAGAUAUAGCCCAUGUUGUAGGAAGCACAGUUCUUUGCUUCUGAGCAAGCUUACUAUUCUGGGUGUACAGGAAACACAGUAGAGUAGAAGAGUGCUCCUUUCUCAAAAGCAGAGUGUGUUUCUUGUAUGAAAAACUAGUGUUGUUUUCCCCUUCAUAACCAGAGUUGAAUCACAGGCAGUUUCUGGUUCUAUGAGCAAGAGUUGUUUUCUGGUAAGGAAAGUCACUAUUGUGCUCCCAUUUUCAUACACAGUGCAAAUAGCAGGCGCGUCUGUUUCCAGAAGUUCAGUGUCUUGAAUGGAAGAGAAGCUCCUGUUCUCCUCAGUUUGCACUCUCCCCAUGCUCCCGCUUCUUCCAUAGGAUGGGAAAUGGAAAAAGAGAAUUGCCCAACAGUGGUGAUUCACAAACAAAGAGGGUUGUCAGCUUGGAUCUGGAGCAGUCUGCCUUCUCAUUGGCUCUAAACACAACCACAUGACUUCCCUGUCACUGCCUGUCUACACGACCUCCAGGUCUCUAUGGUUGGUACUGGGAUUAAAGGUUCAGAUCACCACUCCUUGGCUGUGUCCUUGACCACACAGAGACUCUGCCUGCCAUGGGAUUGGAUUAAGGGAAAUCAGCCUGAAGAUGUCUUUUCAUCAUGACAUCACUUUGAAUCUGAGUCACUGAUUUCCAUGUGUGCAAGAAUGGAAGACACAGCUAAUUUGAAAACUCAGAAGAACUAGAAUUAGAAACAAUACCGGAUUUAAAAGUGGAAAAUGAAAAUGCUUAUAAUAAGAAUGAAGACUAUCAAAAGUUGAAAGCUGCCCAGUCAUCCAACAUAGGAAAUGGUCCAGAAGAAAAUGAAAUAAUUCAAGUUUGGGCUGAAAAAUGUCUGCAACCAGAGCUGAGGGAUGAUUGUCAUCUAGUCUCCAGAUCCAAGCCUGAAACACAGCAGUCUCAAACAGCAGAGGAAUUAUUCUCAUCGAAUUUCCAAACCCAAGUCUGAAACACAGCAAUCUCAAGCAGUGUGGGCUGAAAAAUGUCCUCACCCAGAGCUGAGGGAUUAUUCACGUCCAAUCUCCAAACCUGAGUCUCUACCACACCAAUCUCAACCAGGUAAAUUUUGUAUGUCACAUUCUUCUGAUCAGUUUAUUUUAUUACCUUUCAAAUGCACACAGACUUCCUGAUGCCCAUUAUAAUUUGAUGAUGGUGAUGAUAGGGUUUGACAUAAGCAAUGCCAUCUCAUUAGUGGCAGACAUGCUUCAAAAACAUUCACAAGGACAAUAUGAAUUAUUAGUAAAUGUAAGCACAGCUUCAAUGUUUAAUACUCAGGUUCACUCACCUUAACCUUUCCAGUGUGCAAAUUCCCUGUUUAUUAGUGACUUCUAUAAGUCAAUCAUGAGACUAAUGUGACUUCCUCAAAGUUUGAACUUCAUUUCUGGACACCUAGGUCUCAAAACGCACACCUAUAAUAAAGCUCCAUGAAAGGUCAGGGCAGAGACAUGUUGAGCUCAGAGAUUCUGUUCUGCACUGGACAAACAGCAAUAUACCACCUCUUCAGAAAAGAAAAUCAAUUUUUGUGUUGUUUAUAACUCAUAGUGCACUGCCUUCCUCCAUCUGCAGAGCAUUGUAAUUGAUUUACAAGGAAUAGGAAUGGCAUUUUCAAACCAUAUCUAUAUUCUAUUUCAAUAAAUUUGGGUACACUCACAUAUGGCAGUUCAGUCACUGAAAAUCUCAUUACUUAUAUGCACAUCUUGUUUGCUUUUACACCUUUUCAUUUCUCUGUACUCUAUUGUCUGAAACUCAUCUCUCUGUGUUUAUAUCAGUAAAGAAACCAUGUCUGAAAUGGCUUACUUACUUUCAAAACUUAAAAGUCAAAACCUAUCAGAAUCACACAAAAUAAUUAAAAGAAAACAGGAAACAAAAGCAAAUGAGAUCUUCGGAUCUUACAAUAACCUUUCCUAUAUUUCCUACAUGUCAAGGAGAAAAACAGAUACAACUGUAACAAAAUGGAUUCAAGUUGAAGUCAAAAAGAAGAGUUUAAGCAUUAUCUUAAGCUAGAGUAGCCACAGCAAUACCCAUUUUUCUUGGGAAAAAAGGAUGUACAGUACAGAAUGACUCUAUGUGAUAAAGUGAGUCAUAAAAGAGCAAUUUGUCAGGCGGUGGUGCCUUUAAUCCCAGCACUUGGGAGGCAGAGGCAGGCAGAUCUCUGUGAGUUUGACACCAGCCUGGUCUACAGAGUGAGUUCCAGGAAAGGCUCCAAAGCUACACAGAGAAAUCCUGUCUCGAAAAAAAAAAAAAGGAGCAGUUUCAGUGCAGAGCAAAAGCAUGUUAUCCUGUUCACAGAAAUGUGUGUGGUAAACCAAGUACCAUUUGGGGGAAGUGAACAGUGAGUUACUUAAGUUACUCUUGCAAGGCAAGGAUAGUCUACAGGAUGAAAGUGUUAUUUUCCACAGUUCCUUCAUAUGUGGAUGUAAGCAUAUAGGUCAUUUAUGAGUUUCCUGACAAAUCAUAUGAAGCAUGUAUGACUCAAAACUGGUCAAUAUGUAGUACCUGUCCAAGUGUUGAUUUGUCUACAAUUACAAGUUUUCUUGAGGAUGUAAAUAUACACCUCUACCAUCUGGUUAAUUGAAAUAACAUAUAAAAAAUAAAAACCUAACUACAUUAUUUCUAUUUUUAUAGAGUAUUAUUUUGCCUAAUUGUUGUUCAUAUUUUUAUGUAAAAGAUAUAAUAUUUUCAGAAGAACUAGAAAAAGAAAUAACACAAUUUAAAGUGGAAAAUGAGAGAAGUUUUGAUAAGAGUGCAGAAAAUCAAGAAUUUGUACAUAAAAUUUAAAUUUAAAUUUCUCAUUUCCUAUUGUUUGCUUCAAUGACUUUGCCAUAGACCCACAGGCUACAUUUUAAACCACGUUAUUCAGUCAAAAAAUUAAUAAUUGAGUAAUAAAAUAAAAGCAUUUAAUCUAUUCUUAAUUACAAAGUAUUCUUAGAAUCCCAUGACAUUGCUAAAUAUUUCCUUUGAUGUAUAGUAAGUAAAUUUCUGAUAAUUGUCAUUGCUCUAUUUUUAAUGUGUUUACACACCAGGGUAAAGACAAGACUCAAUGUGAAUAUCAUGGAUCAGUUUUUGAUGUAACAAUGCAUUCUUUAUUUUCUACAUACCCUCUCUCAUGUGUACAAUGUGUAAAGACUUUUAACCAUUCUUCCAUGCUGCCUUGUCAAUCACUUUAUGGUGUCCUUUGCUGCAUAGAAGAUUUUUAGUUUCAUGGGGUCCCAUUUAUUACUUUGGUAAUUACUUGUUUAUAGUGUCUGUACCAGUGACCUGCUCAGAAAGUAUUUAGCUGUACCAAAGAAUUAAUAAUUAAUCUGUACCAUUUGGGCCUUGUGUUGAGAUACCUGGAUCACUGGAAGCUGAGUUUUAUGCAGGGUGAGAGAUAAGGCUCUAACUUCAUUCAUUCACCUGUAGUCCAAUCUGGCCAAUGUGACUGGCACCAUUUGUUUUCUACAAUGUGAAUCGCUGGCCUCUUUUACAAAAAUUAAGAGACUGCAGGACUGUGGGCUUAUAUGUGGGUCAUUAGUUUUCUACCACCAAUCAAUGUUUGUUUGGGGGCCACUGCCAUACUCUAUUUAUUAUUUCAAUUGGUUAUAGUAACUUGAAAUCUAGAAUGGUGAUGCUUCCAUAAGUUUUUGUUUUUGUUCUUUUUAGUUUGCUUUGUUUUUGUUUCAUGGUUCAAAAUUGUUUCAGCUAUUCUUGGUCUUUUGUGUUUCCAUUUGGGAUUUAAAAUUUCUUUUUCAUUUUCUAUGAACAUUGAACUGGAAAUUUUAUGUGGAUCAUGUGGUGUCCAUAGUUCGCUUUUAUUAGGAUGACCAGUUUCACAAUAUUAACCCUACAAUAAUGAUCACAGAAGGUCUUUGCAAGUUAUCAUAACAUCUUCAGUUUCUUAUUUUCACUUUCUUACUGCUUUCAUUGUAAAAGUUUCACUUUUUGGUGACAUUUAUCCUAAUUCAUUACACUUUGAGGUUAUUUGGAAUAGCAUGGUUUUCUUGAUUUUAUUCUCAGUAUGUGCAGUAUUUUUAGGUAGGCUACUGAAUUGGAGGCUCAGAUUAAAAUAUGUUACUUUGCUAAAUAUAUUUAUCAGCCAUUGGAGUUUUCUGGGCAAAAUAUAUUUUUUAUAGAAUCAUAUUAUUACAAAUGAAAAUAUUUUCACUUCUUUUUCCUUUCUUGUAUCUUCUCUUGUCUUACUCUUCUAGUUAAGACUUCUAGUACUAUAUUGAACAGAAGGAGGAAGCAUGGUCAUCCUUGUCAGGUUCCUGAUUUUAGAGGGAAUGAUUUGAGUGUUAACAAUAUGUUAGUUGUGUGUUUGCUUUUUAUUGGCUUUAUUAUGCAGAAAUAUGUCCCUUUUAUUCUUAGACUGUCUGAGAUAUUUAUCAUAAAGUGAUGAUGAAUAUUGUCAAAGACCCUUUCUGUAUCUAAUGACAUAAUCAUGUGCUAUUUGUCCUUGAGUCUGUUUCUGUAAUGGAUGGUGUGAAAGUGCUAUCCUCUAAAUUGAAUUCAUUAGAUAAGUUCUUCCUAUUUUAUUGGUUUGUGCCCUCAGUUCAGUUAUUUCCUGCAGUCUACUCCUCUUGGUGUGCUUGUUCCAGAGCUUUCAGGUGUUCUCUUAAGUCUCUAAAAUGAGAUCUCUCAAAAUUCAUUAUGAAGGCAGUUGGUGCUAUGAACUUUCCUUUUUAACAACCCUUGCAAUGUGUUCCAUACAUGUGAAUAUGUUGUGCAUUCACUUUUAUUGAAUUUGAGGAAGUCUUUAAUUUCUUUGUUAUCUCUGCCUUCACCCAGUGGUAAUUCACUAGAGAGUUGUUCUGUUUCCAUGAAUUUUUAGACUUUCUUUUGUUUCUUUUGUUGUUGAAAUUCAACUUUAAUCCAUGUGGCUUGAAAGGAUGCAGGGAGUGUGUUUCAAUUUAUUUGUAUCUGACAAAACUUGAUUUGUGACUGAAUAUGUUGUCAGUUUAGAGAGUGAAAGCAGAAGUAUUCUCUAAUUGUUUUGCUAACUUUAGGGAUCUAUUCUUCAUACUUGGGUCCCUUGCCCAUCC